UUGAUAAGUCUGAAGUUAAAGGCUGUGGCUCAACCAUAGUUCGCUUUGGAAACUGUCAAACUUGAGUGCAGAAGGGGGAGAGUGGAAUUCCAUGUGUAGCGGUGAAAUGCGUAGAUAUAUGGAGGAACACCGGUAGGCGAAAGCGGCUCUCUGGUCUGUAACUGACGCUGAGGCUCGAAAGCGUGGGGAGCGAACAGGAUUAGAUACCCUGGUAGUCCACGCCGUAAACGAUGAGUGCUAGGUGUUGGAUCCUUUCCGGGAUUCAGUGCCGCAGCUAACGCAUUAAGCACUCCGCCUGGGGAGUACGACCGGCAAAGGUUGAAAACUCAAAGGAAUUGACGGGGGGCCCCGACGACAAAGCGGUGGAGCAUGUGGUUUAAUUCGAAGCAACGCGAAGAACCUUACCAAGACUUGACAUUGAUUGAAAGACCUAGAGAUAGGUUCCUGAACUUCGGUUCAACAGAAAACAGGUGGUAGCACUGGCUGUCGUCAGCUCGUGU
rnacentral:rRNA from 1 species